AUCAGGAUGAUACCAUAUGUAACUAAAGGUUCAAGGUACUGUACUGUACAUUUACUGAAGUUCUAACAUUGUAAUAGUACUUGUUGUCUUUGACAAUGUAUGUGGACAUUUAAAUUUGACAGUAACUUAAUGUGUCAAUGAUGCAUGGUUUGAAAUCAAGUUGUAGAACUUUAUUUCUUGAAAUACAUGGCUAUAGUUGGUAUAAAAUAUAUUUCACAGAUAACUUUCUCGCGUACGUUUUGUAUUAGAUGAAGCAGUUGACUUAGUAUAAUUAGACUGAUUGCUAGGUUUCUCGAUACUUCCCCGUUUUACGAAGUAAUUGCAUUACGUCGUUAGAAAGCGUUCCGCGUAAACUAACGCUCUUGGCAGAUUUUACCUCGUUUUUUAAUUAUUUCUACGCAAUUUUUAAUGUUAUGAAAACUGAGUGAUGUUUUUUCAUGGUUUUGGUUUUCAUAACAUUAAAAAUGUGUAAAAUAAUUAAAAAGAUGAGGAAAAGUCUUCAAGAGUGCCGG